rnacentral:rRNA from 1 species
CGCGUAGGUGGUAGUGCGAGUCUGGGGUGGAAUCUUAGGGCUUAACCCUAAAACUGCCUUGGAAACUGCAUUACUUGAGUCAGUGAGGGGAGGGUAGAAUUCCUGGUGUAGCGGUGAAAUGCGUAGAUAUCAGGAGGAAGGCCUGUGGCGAAGGCGGCCCUCUGGCGCUGAACUGACACUGAGGCGCGAAAGCGUGGGUAGCAAACAGGAUUAGAUACCCUGGUAGUCCACGCCCUAAACGGUGGGUACUAGGUGUAGGGCUCGUAAGGGUUCUGUGCCGAAGGGAAACCAUUAAGUACCCCGCCUGGGGAGUACGGCCGCAAGGUUGAA